AGAGUGGAACUUCACAUCCACGGAAAGUUCUGUAAUAGGCGCUCCAGCCUCUCUACACUCAGCCACCAGGCCAAUGGCCAGCCUUGCCAAAACCCCAAGCUACCAGGACGUGGAACUAAAAGCAGGGCAUGCCGGGUCCGGACUUUGACCUUCAAUUGCACCAUCCUUCUCAGCUCCCUGAGUGGCGACUAGGAAAUCCUGAGAUGGCAGCCAGGUGCCAGGUGUGAGUGUGACGUUGCACGAUUUCUACUUCUGGUCCACCCUGGGCUGAGACAGAACCAGGAUGGAGGUGAUGCCCAGCAGACAUAAAGCCUGAGAUCCCUGGUCACAGCCCCAGCUAUCUCAUCUGCAGAAUCGACCUCAUAGACUUGUGAGGAGUACAUUUGUGGACGCAGGCAAAGCUUGGAGCACCUUGUCUAGCAGAUAGCACACGCUCAGUAAAUGCUAGUUAUCGAGGCUGAAUGACGCUGUGGC